rnacentral:rRNA from 1 species
UAGGGAAUCUUCGGCAAUGGACGAAAGUCUGACCGAGCAACGCCGCGUGAGUGAAGAAGGUUUUCGGAUCGUAAAACUCUGUUGUUAGAGAAGAACAAGGACGUUAGUAACUGAACGUCCCCUGACGGUAUCUAACCAGAAAGCCACGGCUAACUACGUGCCAGCAGCCGCGGUAAUACGUAGGUGGCAAGCGUUGUCCGGAUUUAUUGUGCGUAAAGCGAGCGCAGGCGGUUUCUUAAGUCUGAUGUGAAAGCCCCCGGCUCAACCGGGGAGGGUCAUUGGAAACUGGGAGACUUGAGUGCAGAAGAGGAGAGUGGAAUUCCAUGUGUAUCGGUGAAAUGCGUAGAUAAAUGGAGGAACACCAGUGGCGAAGGCGGCUCUCUGGUCUGUAACUGACGCUGAGGCUCGAAAGCGUGGGGAGCAAACAGG